rnacentral:rRNA from 1 species
UGCAAGUCGAACGGUCUUUCUAUGGAAGCUUGCUUCCACUGAGGAGAUAGUGGCGAACGGGUGAGUAACACGUGGGUAACCUGCCCAUAAGAGGGGGGAUAACAUCCGGAAACGGGUGCUAAUACCGCAUAGUUUCCUUGAUCGCAUGAUCGGGAAAGGAAAGACGGCCUUUGUGCUGUCGCUUAUGGAUGGACCCGCGGCGUAUUAGUUAGUUGGUGAGGUAACGGCUCACCAAGACGAUGAUACGUAGCCGACCUGAGAGGGUGAUCGGCCACAUUGGGACUGAGACACGGCCCAAACUCCUACGGGAGGCAGCAGUAGGGAAUCUUCCGCAAUGGACGAAAGUCUGACGGAGCAACGCCGCGUGAGUGAAGAAAGGUUUUCGGAUCGUAAAACUCUGUUGUCAGAGAAGAACAAGUUGGAGAGUAACUGCUCCAGCCUUGACGGUAUCUGACCAGAAAGCCACGGCUAACUACGUGCCAGCAGCCGC